rnacentral:rRNA from 1 species
AUUGAACGCUGGCGGCAGGCCUAACACAUGCAAGUCGAACGAGUGGCGGACGGGUGAGUAGUGUAUGGGAAACUGCCUGAUGGAGGGGGAUAACUAGGGGAAACGGUAGCUAAUCCUGCAAACCAGCAGUGCUGACAAGAUGGGAUUAGCUUGUUGGUGGGGUAAGGGUUGACCAAGGCGACGAUCCCUAGCUGGUCUGAGAGGAUGACCAGCCACACUGGAACUGAGACACGGUCCAGACUCCUACGGGAGGCAGCAGUGGGGAAUAUUGCACAAUGGGCGCAAGCCUGAUGCAGCCAUGCCGCGUGUAUGAAGAAGGCCUUCGGGUUGUAAAGUACUUUCAGCGGGGAGGCGUUACCCGCAGAAGAAGCACCGGCUAACUCCGUGCCAGCAGCCGCGGUAAUAC